UAAGCCGUUGAAGGUGAAUCGUAAGGUUUGCUGGAGGUAUCAGAAGUGCGAAUGCUGACAUGAGUAACGACAAAGGGGGUGAAAAACCUCCUCGCCGGAAGACCAAGGGUUCCUGUCCAACGUUAAUCGGGGCAGGGUGAGUCGACCCCUAAGGUGAGGCCGAAAGGCGUAAUCGAUGGGAAACGGGUUAAUAUUCCCGUACUUCUGACUAUUGCGAUGGGGGGACGGAGAAGGCUAGGUGGGCCAGGCGACGGUUGUCCUGGUUCAAGUGCGUAGGCUUGAGAGUUAGGUAAAUCCGGCUCUCUCUAAGGCUGAGACACGACGUCGAGCUACUACGGUAGUGAAGUCAUUGAUGCCAUGCUUCCAGGAAAAGCCUCUAAGCUUCAGAUAGUCAGGAAUCGUACCCCAAACCGACACAGGUGGUCGGGUAGAGAAUACCAAGGCGCUUGAGAGAACUCGGGUGAAGGAACUAGGCAAAAUGGUACCGUAACUUCGGGAGAAGGUACGCUCUUGAUGGUGAAGUCCCUCGCGGAUGGAGCUGACGAGAGUCGCAGAUACCAGGUGGCUGCAACUGUUUAUUAAAAACACAGCACUGUGCAAAAUCGCAAGAUGACGUAUACGGUGUGACGCCUGCCCGGUGCCGGAAGGUUAAUUGAUGGGGUUAGCGCAAGCGAAGCUCUUGAUCGAAGCCCCGGUAAACGGCGGCCGUAACUAUAACGGUCCUAAGGUAGCGAAAUUCCUUGUCGGGUAAGUUCCGACCUGCACGAAUGGCGUAAUGAUGGCCACGCUGUCUCCACCCGAGACUCAGUGAAAUUGAAAUCGCUGUGAAGAUGCAGUGUACCCGCGGCUAGACGGAAAGACCCCGUGAACCUUUACUACAGCUUGGCACUGAACAUUGAACCUACAUGUGUAGGAUAGGUGGGAGGCUAUGAAGACGUGACGCCAGUUGCGUUGGAGCCGUCCUUGAAAUACCACCCUUGUAUGUUUGAUGUUCUAACUUAGACCCGUUAUCCGGGUUGAGGACAGUGCCUGGUGGGUAGUUUGACUGGGGCGGUCUCCUCCCAAAGAGUAACGGAGGAGCACAAAGGUGGGCUAAUCACGGUUGGACAUCGUGAGGUUAGUGCAAUGGCAUAAGCCCGCUUAACUGCGAGAAUGACGGUUCGAGCAGGUGCGAAAGCAGGUCAUAGUGAUCCGGUGGUUCUGUAUGGAAGGGCCAUCGCUCAACGGAUAAAAGGUACUCCGGGGAUAACAGGCUGAUACCGCCCAAGAGUUCAUAUCGACGGCGGUGUUUGGCACCUCGAUGUCGGCUCAUCACAUCCUGGGGCUGAAGUCGGUCCCAAGGGUAUGGCUGUUCGCCAUUUAAAGUGGUACGCGAGCUGGGUUUAGAACGUCGUGAGACAGUUCGGUCCCUAUCUGCCGUGGGCGUUGGAAGAUUGAAGGGGGCUGCUCCUAGUACGAGAGGACCGGAGUGGACGAACCUCUGGUGUUCGGGUUGUGUCGCCAGACGCAUUGCCCGGUAGCUAAGUUCGGAAUUGAUAAGCGCUGAAAGCAUCUAAGCGCGAAGCGAGCCCUGAGAUGAGUCUUCCCUGACAGUUUAACUGUCCUAAAGGGUUGUUCGAGACUAGAACGUUGAUAGGCAGGGUGUGUAAGCGUUGUGAGGCGUUGAGCUAACCUGUACUAAUUGCCCGUGAGGCUUAACCAUACAACACCCAAGGGGUUUUGUA
rnacentral:rRNA from 1 species